UUGUAGACGGUCACGUGACCGACGCUUGGCGCUGUUGUGAAGUUUGUGGAAGUUGGUGAGACCAGCUUCAGCUUCUUCUUCCAUUAAAACUGUCCUGUAUCUUUGUUUGAAAAGAAAACAAUGGCGGAGAUGUCUUUCGUGAUCUCAGUAAGCGUAAUGACCGUGUUUUGGGGUAUUAUUGGAGGAGUCGUGCCGUGUUUUAUUCCUAAAGGACCGAAUCGGGGAGUUAUUGUGGUGAUGUUGGUGCUAACUGCAGUUUGCUGCUACCUCUUCUGGCUGAUUGCUAUUCUGGCCCAGCUGAACCCGCUGCUUGGGCCAACACUCAGCAACGACACCAUAUGGUACCUCUAUUAUCACUGGGAGUAAUUCUCAAUCAUAGUCUCCUUGUCUGUCAGGUUAAAAAAAUGACGUAAGCAAGAUGACUAAACAACCGGGAGGGACCUUGGUCUUAUCGUUAUCUCGAGGGGGGGGGCAGCCACCCUUAUAACUGGCUUUCUUCAUGGUUCUCUAAAAAUUAAGGCUUUCCUUGCGAGACGAGAAUCUUCACCAUCUGAAUCAUGAGUGCCGGUGCCCGUCGUCAGUCCCCUCUCUCUCCGUUACUGGACCUGGAUCAGGGUUUGGACCUGGAUCUGGACACUCAUUACCAGCUUGUGCAUCUCACUGCUGAUAUCAUGAUGCUACUUAACUAUCUUCGCAGCACCCCCCCUAAGAAUGGAGAUCCGGGGUUCCCCCCUCUUCUUCGGUACAGAAUCUGCCCCACGAACGUGCGUGUUGACGCCUCUACACAGUCAGACCCAGAACCCCCCUCCAGCUUCCAAUCCGAGGAUGAUGAUGUUGUCUUCUCCGAUCCGGGCCCCGACCAUCCGUCCCUCUUCUCACCCACCAGUCCGCCCGACUCUCAGUGGUCCGCUCACUUCACCCACCCUGAUUUCCCCAUGUCCCCAGGACGCACCCCAUUUUCCUCCCCCUCUUACUCUCCUCCAGACUACGCACCCACCCGUCCUGUGAACUACCAAUAAAAUUACAUUUUUACUCAUA